rnacentral:rRNA from 1 species
UACGGGGGGGGGCAAGCGUUGUUCGGAAUUACUGGGCGUAAAGGGCUCGUAGGCGGCCAACUAAGUCGGAUGUGAAAUCCCCAGGCUUAACCUGGGAACUGCAUCCGAUACUGGAUGGCUUGAAUCCGGGAGAGGGAUGCAGAAUUCCAGGUGUAGCGGUGAAAUGCGUAGAUAUCUGGAGGAACACCAAUUGCGAAGGCAGCUCGCUGGGACGUUACUGACGCUGAGACGCGAAAGCGUGGGGAGCAAACAGG